UGCCCACUCCGACAGGAGUCAAGGCCAUACGGACAGCCGGGGCAAGUGCCGG
rfam:Clostridium sp. CAG:299 genomic scaffold, scf284